CUAAUGAAUAAUGAACACCAUUAAGGCCUAUUUCAAAUGCCCAUCUGUGUCCACGUGAUCUUAAUGACCGGUCAUCUGCAAGAUGAUGACCAUGGAAGCAGAGAGAAAGAUGACAGCACAUGCACUUGUGACCCAAAGCCACCUAGAGGAACGGGAGCCAGAGUGCUGGAGCACACGUGUUCUCAGGGGCUUGAGGAUCCGGGCUCUCUGGACAUUGCCUGGCUUGGAGCUCACAUCUCAAAUGCAAGUCCUCAGGCUUCAGAGCAGGUGGGAAAUCAUUCUUCUCACUGUAUCUUCAGGAGUUGUGCAGUGAGGGGAAACAUCCCAAGGCUGCAAUGAUGCUUUUGGUAAGAAGUGAAAAUCCAAAGUGGCCUGGGUGUGAAUGUGAGCGUCGGGGGCCGAGGGAACACGGCAGAAUGAAGGUCUGAGUGUGAAAAGACACAGCAACAUGAGGGACAGAACAAAGAGAAGUAGGCACACAACUCUAAGCUAUUCCCCUGUUCUUCCCUUGGAUGCUUUCCUUUUCAACAGAGUUCUUUUAGAAAUGAAAAAUCGACUUUCUAGAUUUCUUAUGGAAAAAAGUAAUUUCUUAUGGUGAAAUCUCAGGUGCUGUGGUAGGAGGUAAAUUGGCAGAGGGGCUCCGGGUGCCUUGCCAUUCGUGCAUAAUUAGGAACCCGGCUGCUCACCCAGGAGAGCCGGCCUACCUUGGAACACGCGCACAACCCAUCGGCUCUGGAGUUCUGCUGUGGGGAUGAGGGCCCCCACGGGCUGCAGGAGGCCAAUGAAAGCCAGCGUUGGCCUCUCCAGCUGAGGAGGGAAGACCAACUUAUACAUGGAAUGCUGGCUGUCCAGGAUUGCUAAGUCAUCCUCCAAGAAGGGGAAAGAGAAGGUGUAUCCUGUGGCAAAGAGGACAGUGUCGACCUUCUCUUCAGUGCCAUCCUCAAAGAGGGCGGACGUCUCGGUGAACUCCUCCACGUUUGGCUUCAUCCGCACUCUUCCCGUGACUAUGUGAUUUGGCAGGUCGUCACUGACAACUGUUUGAUAUGAAAAAAUUCUGCACGACAAGGAAGGAAAUGUAAGGAAGUGAAAAUAAAGUUCCUCCUUCAAGAAA